GCCUGUGUAGCUCAGUGUUAGAGCAACGCACUUGUAAUGCGUAGGUCAUGGGUUAGAAUCCCAUCACAGGCU
rnacentral:tRNA from 1 species